rnacentral:lncRNA from 1 species
UCAAAGCAUUGUGUCAGAAUGUCAAGUGUUAUUUCUCUCUCUCUGUGUCUGUCUCUCUCUCUCACUCACACACACCUAUCAUCUCUAUCAUCUAUCUGUCUACCAUCUAUCUAUCUAUCUAUCUAUCUAUCUAUAUCUAUCUAUCUAUCAUUUAUCUAUCCAGUGCUUUUUCCCCUCAAAAUUUUUUUAGGGUUACUCUCAUUUUCCUACUCUUAUUGAAAUGCUGCCCCUGAAUGAGGCCAAACUUAGAUUCACAAAAUCUUUAGGGAUACAUGUACUCCUGCGUACCCCCAGAAGAAAAGCACAGUAUCCAUCUAACAUGGAGGCUAUGGAGUUGCUUCACUGUUUUCUAGUACCUGUAUCAGGUUGAUUCAAGGUUGAAGACAACAAUAUGAGCCAUUAGACAGAGGCAGUUCUGUUUGCACGUUGAUGUCACAUGAUUCUAUUAUUCUAUGUGUAUAUAAAAGAAUAACCAGGGGAAGUUGCACAGGUACAAAUUGUAUUCAGGCCAGUGUGUUUAUUGAAUGUAAACAAAUGUGUAAUCACCAACCAUUUACCUGUUGCCGUGGCAACCAUUUUCAGAGCUUCGGAAGGGAUACAGUCAGUAAUCUCCGCUAGACAAUUUAGGAGCAACUGCUAAGAGGGAAGCCUGCCAUACAGCAUUGGAGCUAAGCUCUUAUGUUAGCCUUUGAUUCAUAGACUUCCAUGAACCAAUAAACUGCCUAAAUUAUCACCGUGUAGCUCUUGCAACCAGGAAGUCUAAGGCAAUCUCUUGCUAGCGGUAUUGAUCAACAAAAAUCCACACAUAUGCUUCCAUUUCACUGAGAAGGUGUGCUCAAACUAGUAUCACUCAUACCCUGCAGUGGGGAAAGCUGCAAUGCAAAUCCAACAUUGUGCCCUUCAGGUGGUGUUGGACCACAACUCCCAUCAGCCCCAGGUAGCCUGGGAUGAUGCAGGGCACCUCAUUGGCCACCUCUGCUCUAGUUGAUUCCAGUGCUUAUUGUGCCUGUCUCAUGCACUGAAUUUUAAAUGCUGGGAGAACACCGAAAAAUAUAACCUCUACCUUCUGGCUCAAGUAGACUGGCCAUUCUACAAUCUCAGCAAACUACCAACUCAUUCCACUGUGUGCCCCACAGGCUGAGGAGAACAUAAGAUGAGCCUGCUGGGUCAGGUAAGUGGCCCAUCUAGUGCGGCAUCCUGUUUUCACAGUGGGCACCAAAAUGCCUAUGGGAAGCCUGCAAGCAGACCCUGAGAGCAAUGCACUCUCCCCUUCCGUGGUUUACAGGAACUGGUAUUCAGAAUCACACUGCCUCCAACUAUUGGCAGAACAUCUGUAGCCAUCAUGGCUGGUAGCCAUGGAUAGUUUGGUCCUCCAUGAAUUUGUCUAAUUCUCAUUUAAAACCAUCCAAAUUAAAUUGUCGGAUUAUGCCGAAAUGGCAAAACUGACUGGAAAGCUCAGGAACCAGGAAGACCAAAGCUUUAAUACGGAAUGGGGAAAAAUUAUAAUUUACCUUGGAGACCACUGUUAAACAGUUGAUAACACUAGCAGGAUUGCAAUAACACUUGUAACGAGAGCUAUGGACAUAAAGGAGUUAUAAAAAACCUUGACAAUUGAAAUAAAAAGAUGCCGUAGAAAAGGUGUAACAACAGAACCCAUGGAGGGGAAGGUGGGAAGUUCUGAUUGUGGAUGUGUUGUGGUAUUACUAUAAUUUUAAAUUUGUAAAACCAAAUAAAAAUUAUUUUGAAAAAACAGAAACAAUAAAACUAUCCAAGUUGGUGGCCAUCAAUGCCUCCUGUGUGGGCGAGUGUCAUGCUUUAGCUAUGCACUGUGUGAAGAAGUAUUUCUUUUAUCUAUCUUGAAUCUUCCAACAUUCAGUUUCAUUGGAUGUCCCCAUGAGUUCUAGGGUUAUGAAAUAAGGAGAGAAACUUUAUUCUAUCCACUUUCUUCAUGGCAUGCAUAAUGUAAUACACUUCUGUCAUGUUGCCUCUCACUCAUCUUUUCUCUAAAAGUCCAAAUGCUGCAACCUUUCCUCAUAGUGUUUGAAGAGAAACACGUUUGAAGCAAUGGCACCCAGCAAGAUAUCACAGUGUAAGUGCUUCCUUCCUCUCAAUUUUGCAUUUUCUUGUUGUGUAUGUCUGUUGCUGUGCAGGGGAGGGAAUCCACCCACCUCCAGUGUCUUGCUAUCCUCAUUGCUUCUAGUCUCAUUGUUGUCCUCAUUGCCUCAGUAUUAGGUCUGGGUGUCCUGAAGAAACAAAUAUAUAUACAUUUUUAGCAACAACAAAAGUAAAAUACCUAGUAAGGCUUCAAUUUUUAUGCAUAUUUUCUUAGGAGUAAGUACACUGAACUCAGUGGGAUGGACUAAAGUGUAAAGAACAGAUGAUCACGAUGCAAAGUAUUUAACAUGUGGAACUCAACAGCCAAAGGAUGUAGCCACUACUUAGAUGACUUUGAAAAGGGUUAGGCGUGGUGUGGCCCUCCAGGUGUGUUUGCAACACAACUCCCACCAUCCCUGAUGAUUGGGGCUGACAGGAGGUGGAAUCUAAGAACAUCUGAAGGCCAUAGGUUCCCCACUUCCAGGCUGGAUAAUUUCAUGGAUCAUAGAUGUUUCAAAGGCUAUCAAGCCAUGAUAACUAAAAUGGAAUAUGCAUAUAUAUUUCUGCAUAUUGAAUGUUAGGGACCUACAAUGAGAAAGAGCCAUGCCUUUCUGCCAUGCCCAUGGACUCCCUGGAGGCAUCUUGCUGGCCAAUGUGUGAAAUCCUGAGCAAGAUGGUAUGUUGCCUUUAUUGUUUAUGCAGAAUUUCACUACAAGCUGAGUUGAAGGUUAACAAACUUUACCUCUGAUGAGACUUGGGAGCCCACAUAAAGUAGUACAGUGGUACCUCGGGUUACAGACACUUCAGGUUACAGACGCUUCAGGUUACAGACUCCACUAACCCAGAAAUAGUACCUCGGGUUAAGAACUUUGCUUCAGGAUGAGAACAGAAAUUGCGCAGUGGCGACGCGGCGGCAGCGGGAGGCCCCAUUAGCUAAAGUGGUGCUUCAGGUUAAGAACAGUUCCAAGUUAAGAACGGCCCUCCAGAACGAAUUAAGUUCUUAACCAGAGGUACCACUGUAGUCAACUUCACCAACCAGACCACACCUCUGAGCUAGCCUCCAGCGCCAUAGCUAUUUCUCUUAAAUGCAUUAUAGAUGGAUGAUUAGUCUGUUCCAUCAGGUUAAUCUACAAUCCUAAAUCCACUGGAUAUAGAGUAACUCCACUGAACACAGUGGAAUUACCUCUCAGUAAACACUCAUAGGAUUUGACUGCACACUGUAUGUUUUUAAACUCUUCUAAAUGUAAGAUG